UUUUUUUCUUUUUUUUUUUUUUUUGAGAUGGAGUCUCACUCUGUCACCCAGGCUGGAGUGCAGUGGCGUGACCUCAGCUCAUUGCAACCUCCACUUCUCAGGUUCAAGCCAUUCUCCUACCUUAGCCUCCCAAGAAGCUGGAACUACAGGUGCCCCCCUACCAUGCCCAGCUAAUUUUUGCAUUUUUAGUAGAGAUGGGGUUUCACCAUGUUAGCCAGGCUGGUUGUGAACUCCUUACCUUGUGAUCCACCCGCCUUGGCCUUCCAAAGUACUGGGAUUACAGGCAUGAGCCACCACUCCUGGCACAUUUAAGUCUUUAAUCCAUCUAGAGUUAAUUUUUGAAUAAGGUGUGAGGAAGGGGUCCAGUUUCAGUUUUCUGCCUAUGGCUAGCCAGUUUUCCUAGCACCAUUUAUUAAAUAGGGAAUCCUUUCCCCAUUGCUUGUUUUUGUCAGGUUUGUCAAAGAUCAGAUGGUUGGAGAUGUGUGGCGUUAUUUCUGAGGCCUCUGUUCUGUUCCAUUGGUCUAUAUAUGUGUUUUGGUACCAGUGCCAUGCUGUUUUGGUUACUGUAGCCUUGUACUGUACUUCAAAUUCAGGUAGCAUGAUGCCUCCACUGUGUUCUUUUUGCUUAGGAUUGUGUUGGCUAUACAGACUCUUUUUUGGUUCCAUGUGAAAUUUAAAGUAGUUUUUUCUAAUUCUGUGAAGAAAGUCAAUGGUAGCUUGAUAGGGAUGGCAUUGAAUCUACAAAUUACUUUGGGCAGUAUGGCCAUUUUCACAAUACUGAUUCUUCCUAUCCUUUUUUUUGAGUCUCACUCUGUUGCCUAGGCUGGAGUGCAGUAGUACAAUCUCGGCUCACUGCAACCUCCACCUCCUGGGUUCAAGCAGUUCUCCUGCCUCAGCCUCCUGAGUAGCUAGGAUUAUAGGCACAUACCACCACACCUGGCUAAUUUUUAUAUUUUUAGUAGAGACAGGGUUUCACCAUGUUGGUCAGGCUGGUCUCGAACUCCUGACUUCGUGAUCUGCCCGCCUUGGCCUCCCAAAGUGCUGGGAUUACAGGCGUGAGCCAUCUUUCCUGGCUGAUUCUUCCUAUCAAUGAGCAUGGAGUGCUUUUCCAUUUGCUUGUGUCCUCUCUUAUUUCCUUGAGCAGUGGUUGGUAGUUCUCUUUGAAGAGGUCCUUCACAUCCCUUGUAAGUUGUAUUUCUAGGUAUUUUAUUCUCUUUAUAGUAAUUGUGAAUGGGAGUUCACUCAUGAUUUGGCUCUCUGUCUAUUAUUGGUGUAUAGGAAUGCUUGUGAUUUUUGCACAUUGAUUAUGUAUCCUGAGACCUUGCUGAAGUUGCUUAUCAGCUUAAGGGGAUUUUGGCUGAGUCGAUGGGGUUUUCUUAACAUACAAUCAUGUCAUCUGCAAACAGACAAUUUGACUUCCUCUCUUCCUAUUUGAAUAGCUGUAUUUCUUUCUUUUGCCUGAUUGCCUGGGCCAGAACUUCCAAUACUAUGUUGAAUAGGAGUGGUGAGAGAGUGCAUCCUUGUCUUGUGCAGGUUUUCAAAGGGAAUGCUUCCAGUUUUUGCCCAUUUAAUAUGAUAUUGGCUGUGGGUUUGUCAUAAAUAGCUCUUAAUUAUUUUGAGAUAGUCCAUCAAUACCUAGUUUGAGAGUUUUUAGCAUGAGGGGGUGUUGAAUUUUGUCAGUGGCCUUUUCUGCAUCUAUUGAGAUAAUCAUGUGGUUUUUGUCAUUGGUUCUGUUUGUGAUGGAUUACGUUUAUUGAUUUGUAUAUGUUGAACCAGCCUUGAACCUCAGGGAUGAAACCGACUUGAUCAUGGUAGAUAAGCAUUUUGUGCUGCUGGAUUCAGUUUGCCAGUAUUUUAUUGAGGAUUUUCACAUCCGUGUUCAUCAGGGAUAUUGGCCUGAAAUUUUCUUUUUUUGUUGUGUCUCUGCCAGGUUUUGGUAUCAGGAUGAUGCUGGCAUCAUAAAAUGAGUUGGGAAGGAGUCCCUCUUUUUCUAUUGUUUGGAAUAGUUUCAGAAGGAAUGGUACCAGCUCCUCUUUGUACCUCUGGUAGAAUUCAGCUGUGAAUCAGUCUGGUCCUUGGCUUUUUUUUUUUUUUUUUUUUUUUUUGGUGGGCUAUUAAUUAUUACUGCCUCAAUUUCAGAACUUGUUAUUGGUCUAUUCAGGGAUUCGACU
ensembl:lncRNA